rnacentral:rRNA from 1 species
UACAGAGGUCCCGAGCGUUGUUCGGAUUCACUGGGCGUAAAGGGUGCGUAGGUGGCUUGGCAAGUUUGAUGUGAAAGCUCAGGGCUUAACCCUGAAAUGGCAUUGAAUACUACUGUGCUGGAGGUUUGGAGGGGGGACUGGAAUUCUUGGUGUAGCAGUGAAAUGCGUAGAUAUCAAGAGGAACACCAGUGGCGAAGGCGAGUCCCUGGACAACACCUGACACUGAGGCACGAAAGCUAGGGGAGCAAACAGG